CUGGGGUGUGAAUGUGUGUGUUAGUGAGAAAGUGCUACACAAGAAUCAGACCAUGUAAGUGUUCAUAUAUUUGGUGGUAUAAUGUAGGCUGCACAUUUUGUGCAUGUGCAGAUGAUCAGAAUUAAACGUUGUCAGAGUCUUAUUAAAUUCCCUGUGAGGACAGUGAACAGCUCAUUAGUCCAGUCUGGGUGUCGUUGUGAGUUUCAUAAAAUCAGAGUAAUGAGCUCACAGCUUCAUUUCUAAAAAUGCUCUUUAUGUCAUGGCCCUGUGCCUCCCCGGCUAGCCCGGUCUGGCUACAAGUGUUUUUGUCUCUUUUGUCCCUUCUCUCUUCCCUCUCGUGCUCUGCACACCACCGGGGCGGAGUUCUCUGUGAGCUCCCGCCCCUGGCUCCCGCACCUGCAAACAAUCUCCACUCUGGCUCGGGACUUAAGGAGGUGGCUGGAGGCGCCUCGUCGCUGGAUUAUUGUGUAACACUUACUUCUCGCCAGCCUGAGGAUCGCCAUUUGGUGAGCUUUAGCCGGAGUACGAGCUAGCCUGAGCGUCCGGGAGAGAUUGUACAUAGCCCGUGUGUUCCUUCCCUGUGCCUGUGUCCCUGGAGACCCACCUUCCCGUGACCUCCCCCCCCACUUGUAUAUAUUCGCAUCUGGUGUCAAUUGUUAAUAAAUUGUGAACCUUU